GGAGCUGCCGGGGGCGGGGGCAGGAAGUCGCCGCUUGGAGCGGGCGGGGGUGUCCCGGGUCCGGUGGGUGAGCGGCGGUUCCGGAGCCGGCUGCCCGGCUCCUUUCUCUCCCUUCCUCUUCUGGUCUCUUCCUACAACAAGCCUAGGCUGCAAAGAGGGAUUUCAGCAGGAAAUCUUUGUGUGCGGUGAGCAGCACCGGCAGCUUCUGGACCUACUGGACUUUGGCUGCAGGUUUAACCAGAAGAACCAGCUGUGAGUCUGAUUUACUCCAUUUUAACAGCAGGAGCAAGCCCAGGCAUCCCAUCCACCCCAGUAGAGCAUGGAGAGAAGGCUCCCAGAACUGAAAGUUCAAAGAUGAUCUUUUAAUGUCCAAGAAGAACAUGGACUGCAGGUGAAGGCAGGGGAACUGCUCUGCUGUUGUGGUCAUCAACCUCUGAUAGCACUUGGAGCAAGACAGCUGAUGGCAGCAGCAACCUCUCUCCUGUGGUACAACAAAAAAGGUUUAACGGCCUUUUCUAAAGAGGUGACUGAAGGGGCCAGAAGACACCAAACCAGGCAGCCGUGACCACCACAGGCUCUGUACGAGCUCCGCAACACCGAGCGUUGGCUCUGGGACCUGGUUCUCAGAGGCGUCGUUCAUAAAAUGGAACAAGCUUUCUCGGUUUUGCGGAAAGAAGGAUGUGUGGAAACAUUGUUUUUACAGUUCUGUGUGAAAAAAAAAAAGUCCUUACACCUGAUGCCCUCUACAGCUGCCUGAAAGGAGGGUGUAGAGAGUACCCAACCAGGAACCAAAAGUGCUAGAAAUACUUCUAAGGCACGUCUGCAUAGCCAAUUGUCCAACUUCACAGACUUUAAUGGCUCCUCGUGGAACUUCUGUCUGCCAUGCUCCAAACCAGACACAGCAAAUGACAAUGACAGAAAGCCAAGGCAGUCCAGGGUCAGAUCUGCACGUGGACACCGGAACAGCAUCGUGUACUCAAGCCUCAGUGCCCAGCCCCCGUACACAGCUGGAUAUUUUCCUGAAGGGACCUGAGGACAAACCUGAGCGCUACCUGAUUUAGAGUAUCCAGACUGGUCUAUAAUUGCUGUCGUUCAACUGUUGGUGAACUUAAAUGAUCUCCUUGCCUUCCUUGCCAUCAGCAGUCUUCAGUUCAAAGUAUUUUCCAGAAUGAACAUGAUGUGAUUGCAAAAGACACGCAAGCCCCUCUCGGAGCCAAGAAAGAGGAGCGGUCUGCCCCCGCAGAAUACACACCUGGGAAUAACUGAGCCAGUCACUGGAUGUCACCAUUGAGCUGCAGAAAUGUGGCUUGAAGUUCAUUAUUUAUCUGCUUUUAAAAGUACUGUUUUUUAAGGAAAGCGUCAGUCACUGGAAACCCUUGGGUGAGUCAGCACCUUGCUGUGGACCUUGCCUUUUGCUGGGAGUCGGCUUGGGUGGCUUGCCUCUGUGUGAACGAAGUCAAACGUGCUCAUCCUCCAAGGGAAUGUAGUGACCAGGGACCACUCUGAAGGGAGGGAACGAUGUGGCGGCGGGUAGACAAACAUCCUCAGAACACGACGACACAGGCUCUGGCAAACGUCAGGAAUGGCUUCUCUUCUCUGCAGCAUGUACACAGUGCUUGGGGUGCUGUGGGGAGGUAGAUGCCCUGCUAAUGAAAUAGUAAUCCUAGCAAAUUAUAGUAAUAUCGCACAAACUCCCCUGAGCUUAGCAGAAGAGCUGAGACCAGUAUCGCCCUAUCAGACAUUCAGUAACCACCAGCACCAAAAGAACUUGGUGACCUACUACAAGCCUAGUGUCAUGAGAACGAGAGCCCUAAACAGAAGGAAAACAGAAUAAUUUUCACUUAACUGGAAAUGUUCAGUUGUUUCUAGUCUCUUAGGCUGUUAUGUAGGAAAUUAUCGCUGAUGAUCCAAUUAGUGGAAGGGAAUAGGGAUCUACAUGGGACUGAGAAUGUACUCGUAGCAUAGAUUAAAAGAAAAUUGUGUAUGUCUAUUAAAAAAGAGAAAGAGGGGGUGGGGGAUAAGAAAAAGCUAAUAGAGAGAAGAGAAUAAAUAAAUAAAGAGAAAAAAUAAUAAAGAGACAAGAGAUCCUUUCUCAGCUUCUCUCUCAGGAAAUAAGAGAAAGACUGUUGAAGGACUGUUGGGCUGAUAUGGUCAUUCCUGAACAAAACAAACAAAAAAGUAGACAAGACUUCAUAAGAUUCUUGAAUCCAUUAGGCAUGUUUUUGGUAAGAGCAAUACGUCUUAGUAUAAGUAACUCAGCUUUAUAUAGAACCUCACUUCUUGCAGGCAAGUCUGGACACACACUCAUGUCAAAAGAGCUGAAGAACAGGCAAGCCCAAGUAAUCUUCUCGGGCAGCCUUCCUCCCUGUAAAGUAAGACAGAAAAUUCUGGAAGUGAAGUUGUAGUGGAAUUGUGUAAGGUAGGAGACGUUACUUUUUUUUGGAAUAUCGGUCGUCCUCUUCGAACAUGAGGUUGUGCCGUUCGGAGAAAAUCUAUUUCAGUAGAAGAGGAGCCAGUCUAAGCGGAGGGGCUGUGUAGAGCAGGCAGGGUGCAGAAGAGCAUUACAUUGACAGCAAAGGGGAAGACGAAGAGACGGGACAGGGAGCGCUAAUUUAGCACAAAAUCAAGAUGUUGAGAGCCAGAUUAAUUGAGGUACCAAGAGACUUGAAGGAAUAGAAAAUCUUUAAUUGCCUGUACACCAAUGUGAAGAUGCUGGGUAGUAAAGGAGGAAUAGGAAUUGCUCACAUACGAGCAUAAAUUCGACCUACUUUGGUGUUCCUGAAACCUGAUGGGAAGAUUUGCAUGACUGGAAUGUUAAUAACACUGGUUACAAUCUGUUUAGCAAGCAAAACUGGGCAAAUAAAAGUGGGAGGGCUGUAUUCUUAUGUCAAAAAUGGCAUCGUG